GUUAAUUCUGAGACUGAAGGACUUGGACAUCUGGAAUUUACCACUGACACUAAAUGAGAGAGUUCAGCUUUCACAAGACCCAAACUGAUAGUCGAAGAACCAUACCCGAAGAGCAUUUCCCGUGCUUUCUUCAAUACUGAUUGAAUUCAAAUGCUAGUCAUAGUUCCUCAAUCCGACCUCAAUCCGUUCGUGAAGUUUUCUCUGCACUCCCAUUUGUAGUUGCAGAACCUGAGCAAUCUGCAAGCUUCUGAUAAACAAAACUCAUCUAUCUUUCUGCAAAUGGCUCUUCAAGUGGUACAAAGUAAGUCCAUGAAUCCCCAUCACUCUCAUCAGACCCUUUGGUGUUGCUUCUGCAUAAAAUACAAACACAAAACACUUACAUUGUGAAUUCCAAAUUCAGUCGAUGAAUUCGAGUAGAAGAUAUUGAAGGUUUAUCCUCAACUGUCUGC